AUGAGCAAAUUAAAGACCAUAACUGGGAUGUUUACAGCCGCAACAUGGUGAACAAACAGAUAAGGCUGCUGUGGAAACUGAAAGGUCACUGGACUUCAAGGACAAACUCAUGGAAAAUAAUCUACUGAGAUUGCUGAGACUGUGUGUGGCCCAAGAUGUCUGUGAACUGCAAAGGACUGGAGGAUAGAGGAGCACAGAGGAAACAGCGAGAUCUCUGUUCCCAGGAUUUUCUUCAUAAAACUGUUGAUUGGAUGACUAUGUUAAAGAAAUAAGAAGAAUGAAGAGGAGAAAAGGUGGAUUUUGUACCUUGCUCUAGAAGUUCUAGUUCUGGCUAGCAGUGGAGAAUGAUUAUUGGAAGA